GGAAGCUGUAGCCAUGCCUACUUAGGGGCUGGCUGCAGGUGUGCCUUGACCACGCUUGCGAGGGCGUGGUCAGGGUGACGUAGAGUGAUACUUUCAGGGGACUGCGUUUCUCUUUCGGUUUCACUUUUGUACUUGCUGGACAGACUGCUGCCACGCCGGCUGGCUAGGUUGCUCUGUAAGUAAGGCUUUUCCCUAUUAAAUGCCCUUGUAUUUCUACCUGACUCCGUAUUGGUAAUUUCCCACUUUAUCUGGUUGUCAGGAGCAGGAUAUUGGAAACCUACACCCCAUUUGGAACAGGCUGUGGGGUGCACCAGGCCUACAGACUAGGCGGGGAAAGGUCCCUCUCUUCACAGGUGCUCCCAUCUCCCAGCCAACCCGCUGCCGCUGAGCUGCUCCCAGCUUGGAGACUCACACAGACCUCCUAUGGUUUUACCACCGUGCGAUCGGGACCAGCUUGGACUGCAGCCUACCCACGCCUGGAGGCUUCCAACCCUUGAACCGACUGCCACCCACCACUGCCAAAUGCCGCAGACUAACUGAACACCUGUGCCACCCACUGGUCAAAGAUAGUUACUGCAUCUGGAGUAGAAAUCAGGCUUCUCGAGAUCAAUGGCUGAGCACAAAAAGAUACAAAGGAAAACCUGUUUCUACAAGCAGUGGCUGACUUUGUUGGAGGAUGUCUAGAAAUCCCUGCUGGUCCUUCUAAGGACUGGGUAGUGGCUCUCGGUUAAGAAUUCUCCCAUCCAAGUGUAACCAGGCUGACCCUGCUUAGCUUCUGACAUCAAGUAACAUUAGUUGGGUAAGAAUUCUGAUAGAUGUUUCUAC
rnacentral:lncRNA from 1 species